UACGUAGGGUGCAAGCGUUAAUCGGAAUUACUGGGCGUAAAGCGUGCGCAGGCGGUUGUGCAAGACAGAUGUGAAAUCCCCGGGCUCAACCUGGGAAUUGCAUUUGUGACUGCACGGCUAGAGUGUGUCAGAGGGAGGUGGAAUUCCACGUGUAGCAGUGAAAUGCGUAGAGAUGUGGAGGAACACCGAUGGCGAAGGCAGCCUCCUGGGCCAGCACUGACGCUCAUGCACGAAAGCGUGGGGAGCAAACAGG
rnacentral:rRNA from 1 species